UACCUAAAGGUGAUGACACACGGUUGGAGCACAGACGGAACAAUGAGCCAGAUAUUUCACCGGAUGAAUAAAUGUGAAGCAUCUGAUUGGCGUUUCCUCUCACUGUUUCCAAAAUUAGAAUCUCUCUCUAGUUUAAAAAGAUAGAUUUUUAUGUGGAUUUUUUUCAUAAUGCCAAUUAGAUUUCCAAGGGGACGCAGACAUCGACUCUAGUUAAAACCACAACAAUGACAAGAAACGUUCUCAGAUAGGGGUCUAGAAGUGCUACCCUCCUCCAGUGAAAAUACCCCUACAAAUAAGAUUGAUCUAUUUUAGAUAUUGGUGACCAAAAACUGGACAUAUGUGCCGUUUUUAGACAUGAACACCUGUCUCCUAAAUGUCUCUGCAAGGUCCUGACAAAGAGGAUUCCACCAAAGCAUUCCUUGGAAGAAAGAAAACAUGUUGUGAAUUCUCCACAAGUGAUAACAAUUCUUCUGUAGAAGAGGGCUUAAACGUGUUUUUCUACUUCCAUGGAACUUACCUGCUCACCUGAGAGUGGAGGAGCUUCCUGAUCCAUGCUCCAAAGGACAGAUCUAGGAUCAGCUCACCCUCGUCAAAUCCAAACCAGGACCUUAAUAAUCCACAAAGGGGAAAACUGACCUUAGACCAGCAUUUAAACCCCACGUCUUCCUGCCCAGACACUGCUCUCCAUCCAGAGUUCCUCUGUGCUCCAACUGUCCAUCCGUCUAUCCAUCCAUUCAUCCCUCCAUACCCCAGCCAACCAGCCAUGGAUCUGAUGAGUGAAGACAUGAAUUGCUGCGUCUGCUUCCAACCCUACUCUCACACGGAGAAUAUCCCUCGGGUGCUCCACUGCGAACACACCUUCCGUGGGCCGUGCUUGGAGGCGAUCUCCAGGCUCCAGAGUGGCCUAUUGACCGUGUGCUGCCCUCUGUGCCGCUGGAUCACCUGUAGCCGGGUCAGCUUACCCUUUGCUGGUUCUCUGUUUGUCAACACUGACAUCUGGGACCAGAUAGCAGACACACACAACGCAGAGUUACAGCAGUGCAGUACAACACCGGUUACAUUGGUUAACUGGGUUAGCGUUGAUCGCAUUCUAUUUAGGAACCAGGCUGACUCCUGGGCGUGAGCCGGGUGCCCUGUUCAGGCGGACACCGAAGUCGGAUCAACAGAAAAGUGGCGUAGGUUAAGCACAAUGUAGUAAUGACUAUGAUUCUGUGUUUUCACUUGUACAAGUGAUUGCUUUUGAUAAACGCUUUAUCUGCCUGUCCAAUAAAAACUGGAUUGAAAUUCAAACAUAGAUUUUUUUAAAUGGAAAAUGUUUAUGUUUCUGAACGAUGCAACAUGCUGCAUUGUUGACAAUAUGACCGAGCGGCGCAUAUUACCAUACGAUUUGAGCAGGGCGCGCCGCCCUCAUCCGUUUAGCCCAUUUCAAUGCAUGGCAGAACUCUCUCAAGAUAUACUAUAUGUACAAAAGUAUGUGGACACUAUUGUGAAUUUUUCAGUACAUAUGUGGCAAUUAUUUAUUUCAGAAGGAGCCAGCAAAAUUAGUUAUGUGCUUUGGGUCAUUUGACAACAUUAGACAUACACGGCUGGUUAUUCUUAUAACUGUUAUGGCCAACUAUUUACUGUUGCUAUUGUAAGAAAUACCAUUGUAAUAACACAAGCAUAUUGCUAUUACAUUGUUAUAACUAACUUCUUUCUUAAACAAGGUUCUCUCACAUACUCACAAGCAGAAACUGAGGCACACACACACCAGAGACAGAUGGCUGACACAGAACAUUCAUAAACACUGAUAAGAAAAGGGUGCAGACACACACACAUACUCAAGGACAGAGGGCUGACUACGCACACACAAAAUCUCCUGUUUUAGCUGAACAUUUUGAUAACAAGGAACUUUUGUUGCAAGACUCAGAAGGAUGACGUCCAGCUCAUCAGGACCAAUCUGAGAAGACAACAACCUGUCCAGAACCAACCAAAGGACCAGAACUUCCAGACUCAACCUACUUUCUGUCCUGUAUAAAAUGACUAUGUAUUUCUGUUAUCUGGGCUCUGUCUGCAGGUUCCUUACGAGCCGAAUGAACGAGUCCAAGCAUGCUUGUAUCAGAUAUCUUUACCUCUGAAUAAAACUGCUUUUUAUUAUACGAA